AUAUAUAUUAAUAAUGAAAAUCUUUUUUUAUCUUGACAGAUUAAAGAAGAAGAAAAAAA
rnacentral:sRNA from 1 species